AUGAUUUGGAUGAAACAAGAGAACGAGACUGACUGUUGCUGAGUCCCUGCUGCAGUCCUGACACAGCUGGAGACACCCUGCUCUCCAGCUCUCCUUAUUUUGUUGAUGCUUUUGAGGACCAUGUUGUCUGAGGAAGACGGUUCCCAUCCAACUCUGCCCCUGGUGUGUCACGUGCUGGCCUUGUCAACAUACAUGAGAACCUGACAGGGACCCACCCGAGGAGAGGCCAUGGCUUGGAGCACCUGGUAGUGUGUCCACAGUGAAGACCAGAGUUUCGUUGUCCUCAAGACUGACCUGGGGGGACGUGGCUGCGGGCCAGUGAGGAAGCAAAGAAGGAAGCUCCUGCCCCUCCUAAGGCCAAAGCCAAAGCAAAG